rnacentral:rRNA from 1 species
UACAGAGGUCUCAAGCGUUUGUUCGGAUUCAUUGGGCGUAAAGGGUGCGUAGGUGGCGGGGCAAGUUUGGUGUGAAAUCCCGGGGCUCAACCCCGGAACUGCACUGAAUACUGCUUUGCUUGAGCACUGGAGAGGGAACUGGAAUUUACGGUGUAGCAGUGAAAUGCGUAGAUAUCGUAAGGAAGACCAGUGGCGAAGGCGAGUUCCUGGACAGUUGCUGACACUGAGGCACGAAGGCUAGGGGAGCAAACGGG